rnacentral:lncRNA from 1 species
CGAAGCGUUCAAAGAUAAUUUACUCCAAUUCGAUUCGUUAAUAAAUAAACUCAAAUUUUCGAAGAUAUCGAUACCACGAGGGGAAGUGGUCGGAGAAAACUUAUAACCGAAAAAAGGUUUUAAAUCGUAAACGUUGAUGGCGGAAGGACUUUUUGAAAUUUCAAUGAGAGGUAAUGUAUCCUUGGAACGAUUUCAUCGGUACGUUCUUUAUCCCUUAAUUCCACCAAUUCUGCGAAAUGUUGGGCCGCGAACGCGUAAAUGUUUCGAGGUCUUUGACGCAAAAUUUCUCGUGCGAGUCCUUCAACCGCAGGAGCCAAACCUCGUGGUAUUCGUGGUGCUAUUAUGUAGUCUAUUUCCGACAUUAUCGUACUCGGUGUAUCACUCGGUUCUCCUCGUAUCUGUACUGUAAUCGUUAGCUGUUUACCCUUUAUAUGGAAAUAUGUAAUUGCACAAAUAAACACAACAGAUACAAAGACA